rnacentral:lncRNA from 1 species
AGUGAAGAGCUAAUUUAGAUCUCCUGUAGCAAACAAAACUGAAAUGAGAGUCAGGGCUUUGAAAGUGUACUAUCAGUAGUAGAGCUGCUUUUUCCAAUUGAGGUUUAAAUUAGGAUAAAGCUGUCUAAAUAAAAGAUAAUUAACAUGGUUUCAUGGUUUUUAAAGUCUGAAGCCCGGAAAUCUGGAUUGUGUACGAAUAGAAGAUGUUGUCAGGAACUGGGCUCCUGUCUACUAAAUGAAAGAAGCAAGUUCCCAAUAAUAAGCAAAGAUCAAUCAUGCAGAAGGAAAAGAGGACUAAAAGUUUCAAAACAAAUGUAGUGCUGAAGAAAAAAGGAAGGGGAAAAAAAGCAGAGGCAGUAAAACUGAAAUUUCUACUGUCUGCUGCAAAGCAGUUUUCACAUUAAUGACUCCUUAAAGGACAUUCCUUGACACUCAGACUUUUGCAAUAAAAUGCUAUUAAAAACCUGAAAAGGGCAGAAAAUUCUAUGGCUACUCAGCAAAAAAAAAAAGCAUUAAAGAUUAACAGGAUCCUUUUCUGUAGGCAAAUACUGCCAUCUUCUGUUCAUUCAGAUAUGGUGUUGGCCAGCCAGACCUAACACCUUGGUGGUGGGCUCCUGUCAUCAUUCCCAGCAUAAAAUACUAUGCACCCAUUUUUUUUUAGGGGAACUCAACUUUUUGUUCAAGGACAGAAAAAAACAAAAACAAUUCCAAAAUUUGCCUCCCCAAACACUAAAUUUCUCUUACUUAGAAUAGCUUAAUGAAUACAAAUGGAAGGGCUCUUAGAAUGGUACAGGUGGUUGCUUGCAUAUGUUGUUAUUUUGGCAUUGCACCAGAAGCUGCUACCAAGAUUAGUGACUGCAUGUUUGCCAAUGGUGUUAUAGCAUCGUGUUUAUGGAUCUGAAAGCCAAGAAGACUGUUAAAAGGAGGAUACAGUAAUUUGAAAUUAGCAGCUGAUGUAAUUCCCGUAAGUAUUUUCUGCAUUCUACGGUUAAAUGCUGUAUAUGAUUCAACAUGAAACAUCUAUUGAGCAUCUCUGCAAAUAGCUGUUAAAUUUCUACAAUGGUACAGAAUAAAUUUUACUCUUCGUCACAGAUGCACCCACAACCAAACUCUAAUUUAGGGCUGUCAGCAUGGCUCUCUAGAUGUUGUUGGACUUCAGAUCCAUUCAGCCCCAGCCAGUAUGGCUAAUGGGUGAGGGUUAGAGUUAGAGUUAGAGUCCAACAGAAUCGGGAGGAGACCACAUUGGCUGCUGCUGCUGUAGUCAUAGAUGAAGACAGUGCGUCACACUGUCAGACUAUGUGUUGAACGGGGCAGGGGGACGUUCUGUAUGUAAUGCUCUGUCACUUCCUUCACCCACAAUUUCAGUAUCACUGUGACCUUUCUCUUCCCUAAAUAAUAUUGAAUAUUAAGGAAUGCUUUUCAUAUACAUAAUGCAGUUUCUUUUUGGAAAUCUCAUGAAGAAAUACAGGAAGCAUCACAGCAUUUCCAAAAUGAUUGAAUUAUGUCAAUCAAUUAUCUAGUAGAAUUCAAUCAAAUUUAUUUUCUGAGUAGCAUGUCAAAAAUGAACUGCAGCAAUAUUCAUAUUCUAUUUUAUACCACAUUUCUGCUUCACAUUUGCCUUCAUGAAGCUCAGGUAUGCAUUAGAUAGGUAUCACUGCAUUUUAUCUUUGCCUAAACCGCCUCACAGGGUUAUUGAAAGAAUGACUGCUCCAACGUCCAUCAGAGAAUUGCACGGCAGAGAUGACUUUAAAUCCAGGUCACUCUAGUUCACAUUCAGUGUUCUGUUAUACUGCAUGGCACAUGAACUCUUUUCACCCAUAACAGGGUGGAAAAAUCACAGUUAUUGUCUUGUAAUACCAAAAUACAUUUUUCUAUUUAUUAUAAAAUAUAAUUGGGCCUAUAUUAAUAGCUGCUAUUCCAAGGAUGGGGGGAAAUUGUUUGCUAUUAGCCUCAAUAAUAUUUGUAACUGCUCUGCAAUCUUAAUAGCAUGAAGGACAUUUGAGGGCCAUGAAGUGGAAGGAAAAUAAUUUCACUGUUGUUCCUAGAUAGAAAAGCAAAUGUUCCCCUGGCUAAAAGGAUUAUAUCUGGGAAUCUUUCCCGAGGACAAAAUUAGAACUGCAUAUUCAUUUAUCAGCCAGAAAAUUCACCAUAAAGUGCACUUCGCCUCUAUAGGUGGUAAGAAAUGCAAUUAAUUAAUUCCUAGCAUUAAAACAAAUCUGCUUUCACUUCAACACAUUCCCGAUGCACAACUCAAGUUUGCAUUGGUUUGUUUUCAAAGAUAUAAGACUGGUUUGUAUUUUUUUAGUACAAAUGCAAAGCUAUUUUUUUUUAAAAAAAACAUUAAAUAAACAUCGUACCGAACUGAAAACAAUUCUGUUGCCAAAUUGGUUACGCUUUAGGCAAAGAUGAGGAUUUUUGUUUUGUUUUUGCUUCUGUAACCCAGCAGUAGCAGCAGCCCUGCUGAUUUCAUUUUCAUUUAAAUAUUUUGCUGCCUGUCUUUGUCUUAGCAGUAAUGAGGAAGAAAAUAUGUUGUGCUAAUAAUUGCUUAUAUGACUUAUGAAAUAUUUAUCCCAGUACAUAGUGUUUCAUCUCCCUUUCUGUCCUUUCCACCCUUCUCUCUCUUGUCUUGUGGGUCAUGAUCUAGCACUGUCCUGUGCGAGUUUACUUAGAAGUAAGUUCCAUUUUGUACAAAGGGCCUUAAUCUUUGGUAUGGGACUUCUGUAGCCUUUGUGCAGCACUUUUGACUCUCACUAUUUUCAGUUCCAUGUGUAAUGCUGUCAUGGAGACCAACAGAACUUAAUAUGAAUGCUUCACUUUGGCUGAAUCAUGCUCUUAAGAUUGUAAAUCUACAGGAAGGCACUUUUGUCUGUUUUAAGUAAGCACUGCAAAGAGACAUUUAAAAGACUCUACUACUACUACUACUACUACUACUACUACUACUACUAAUAAUAAUAUCAGGGAGUUGAUAUGUGAAUGAUCUGAAGUGUAUUAAUUUUAUAAAUGGCAGCAACUCUCAAAGCUUUAUUUGACAGUAGCAGAAAGGGUAAGGUUUGGCAUGGCAUUGGGGUCAGGAUUAGUUCAUCAUUUCACAAACCUUGUGUUGAUGGAAUGGGUUCACUGGGUUUGGGCCGCCCCCAACCCUUUCCAUGGGAGUCAGCCAGGGCUGAACCUUGCCAUGGUGCAAGCUGAGCAAGCAAGGUCUCACUGGGGGGCCAGGGGGCAGAUUCCAACCAGGCAGAUACCCCAACCUGAGCUUGGGGGUGUAUGCCCUCCCCCAUACUAUGUUGAUCCUGGCCAAUGAUAUUUCCGCCCUCAUACAAACAAGGGAAGGUCAUAAUUUCACUGAGGGAAAGGUGGAACAAACCCCAACC